CGCCCUUAGAGUUUGAUCAUGGCUCAGAUUGAACGCUGGCGGCAGGCCUAACACAUGCAAGUCGGACGGUAAGAGAGCUUGCUCUCGACGAGUGGCGGACGGGUGAGUAAUGUCUGGGAAACUGCCCGAUGGAGGGGGAUAACUACUGGAAACGGUAGCUAAUACCGCAUAACGUCGCAAGACCAAAGUGGUUCGUCACACCAUCGGAUGUGCCCAGAUGGGAUCAGCUAGUAGGUGGGGUAACGGCUCACCUAGGCGACGAUCCCUAGCUGGUCUGAGAGGAUGACCAGCCACACUGGAACUGAGACACGGUCCAGACUCCUACGGGAGGCAGCAGUGGGGAAUAUUGCACAAUGGGCGCAAGCCUGAUGCAGCCAUGCCGCGUGUAUGAAGAAGGCCUUCGGGUUGUAAAGUACUUUCAGCGGGGAGGAAGGGGGCGAAGUAAUCUUCGUUCUUGACGUUACCCGCAGAAGAAGCACCGGCUAACUCCGUGCCAGCAGCCGCGGUAAUACGGAGGUGCAGCGUUAAUCGGAAUUACUGGGCGU
rnacentral:rRNA from 1 species